GUGCCAGCAGCCGCGGUAAGACAGAGGUUGCAAGCGUUGUUCGGAAUUACUGGGCAUAAAGCGCACGUAGGCGGUCCGCUAAGUCAUGUGUGAAAUCCCCCGGCUCAACCGGGGAAUGGCGCCUGAUACUGGCGGACUCGAGAUCGGUAGGGGUGAGUGGAACUCCAGGUGGAGCGGUGAAAUGCGUAGAUAUCUGGAGGAACACCGGUGGCGAAAGCGACUCACUGGACCGACACUGACGCUGAGGUGCGAAAGCUAGGGUAGCAAACGGGAUUAGAAACCCCUGUAGUCC
rnacentral:rRNA from 1 species